rnacentral:rRNA from 1 species
AACGAACGCUGGCGGCAUGGCUAAGACAUGCAAGUCGAACGAUGCGUUGUAGCAAUAUGGCGCAUAGUGGCGAACGGGUGAGUACAAAAUAGGUAACGUACCCUUGGCACAGGGAUAGCGCCGGGAGCUUGCUCCCUUUGCGAAAGUGGCAUUAAUACCUGGUGACGUCUUCGGGUGGCAUCAUCUGAAGACCAUAGGCGGGGACCUUCGGGCCUGCCGGCCNGGGAGCGACCUAUUUCCUAUCAGCUAGUUGGCGGGGUAACGGCCCACCAAGGCUUCGACGGGUAGCCGGACUGAGAGGUUGUACGGCCACAUCGGGACUGAGACACUGCCCGGACAUCUACGGAUGGCUGCAGUAACGAAUAUUCCGCAAUGGGCGAAAGCCUGACGGAGCAAUGCCGCGUGGAGGACGAAUUCCUUCGGGAUGUAAAC